GGGUAGGUUAGCCAUUUCCACACUUUAGGACACCCCUUAUAAUUAUAGGGUAGAUAUUUUAUCACUUAGUAGUCCCCACCAUUUUUGAGUAGUGUCCAAAAAAUCAUUCAUCUUUUUGGACGGCUCUUCAUGCUGGCCUUUGAGUGAGAACGUUAAAGUUGGUGGAUAUUUAUGUUUGCAUGUAAAUUAAUUCAUCUUCUCCGCAGUCCCUGAUAUCAAUGUUGAGAACUUUAUCGACUGAUAAAGACGGAAAAACAUCCCAGCAUUGUCGUCUCCGUGCUUGCAGCUGAAAAAAAACCCAGGAAUGUUUGGUAUCAAUCACAAAGGAAGAAAACCACGGAAAUCACUGGACUCCAAAAACUAAAUUUCAUAAACCGCUUAGGCCAUUACACUACUUACAUACAUGUCUGAUGAUAUUGAGAUCCAGCUUAUGCGAGAACACUCUGAUUCCUUCCGAUUUAUUUGUGAAAUUCUUCUUUUCCAAGCAAUUAUAAAACCCAUUCCUCUUGUACAUCUCCCCCCCUUUGAUCCUGGCAUUUUUAGGGGCCACUUAAAAGGAUAUAGGGGCCAACAAUUUAUACCCAGCUAAGGGCACUAGUUAAGGGAUACCGUAUAACACAUUGAAGUUACCUAAAUGCCCUUGUAUUAAAAAAAAAAAUGAAAACCAAAUCAAAAUCCUUUCUUCACAUUUCAAUUCUUCUUCUUCAGCUCUUUCCCUUCACUCCCGAUUGUGGAGGGAAAAAAAUUUCCUCUUUUUUCAAUUCAUCGUCUUCGUCGUGAAUCGCCAAAGUAAAACAUCGUUGAUUCAUUUAUAAAACAAUGGUUAAGGGUAAUGAACCCCACAGACCUAAAACUGAAAAAUUUCCUCGCGGUAUCGACCCAAAUAUUGGUAGCAAGAAAUAAAGAGAUUGUUGCUGAAAAUGACAAAGAACGCGAAGAACACGAAGACGCGGAUGUAGUUGGUGGUGGCGAUUCUGACAGUCAAACAAUCCGACAACUUCAAAUGGCCCCAAUUAGGCAAAGUCGAGCUAAGCAAGCCCCCAAAACAGGCGACUUAGGGCCUCGUCGAGAAGGGAGUAAGAAAGUAUCAGCUAGUGCUAGGAGAGAAAAGAGUGCCAAGGGAAAUUAAAGUUCUCAACAAGGUGCAGAACCAAUUUCUCCACAAGGAACUGAACAAGGUGUGCAACCAAGUGCUCAACAAGACACUCAACAAGGUGUAGAACCAACUGCUCCUCAAGGCACUGAACAAGGUGGUGUAGAACAAAGUGCUCCACAAGUUACAUCCAAACAUGAAAUUGAACCAAUUGAACCAUUGCCAACAGUAGAAGAAGAAGAAGGACAACCAAAUGGUACCAAAAAAUCCAACAAAUGAGGAGAAGGUGGGAAGAAGGAUAUUUCUAAAAAAGCAUCACACCUUGUCCCUGAACACUUGAAGGUGCAGAAUAUUCCAAAAGGCAAAAUCCUUGGGCUACCGGCGGAUGGAGGAAAAUUGUUAUUUGGAUACAAAGACUCUUGGGCCGAAGAAAUAUACAAAACUGAGUAUCAUCAAGAUGUGGUUCGUCUACUCAAACCCACUGCCGCACCAACAAAAAAUGCUUGAUUGGCCUUUAUCCGAUGAAUGUGAAAGGUUCAAGACAAUUAUAGCCAACUCGGGGUUAGCUACUUCUUCCGUGAACUCAAUGUUGGAACAUGGUCGUGUGGCUAUAUCGGCGUUCGUGGAGAGAUUGUAUCCUGAGACGGACACCUUCUGUAUGCCGUUUGGGGAGAUGACGAUUACUCCGGAUGAUGUUGUGCAGAUUAUUAACCUCCCUGA